GCCUAACACAUGCAAGUCGAGCGGUAGCACAGAGAGCUUGCUCUCGGGUGACGAGCGGCGGACGGGUGAGUAAUGUCUGGGAAACUGCCUGAUGGAGGGGGAUAACUACUGGAAACGGUAGCUAAUACCGCAUAACGUCGCAAGACCAAAGUGGGGGACCUUCGGGCCUCAUGCCAUCAGAUGUGCCCAGAUGGGAUUAGCUGGUAGGUGGGGUAACGGCUCACCUAGGCGACGAUCCCUAGCUGGUCUGAGAGGAUGACCAGCCACACUGGAACUGAGACACGGUCCAGACUCCUACGGGAGGCAGCAGUGGGGAAUAUUGCACAAUGGGCGCAAGCCUGAUGCAGCCAUGCCGCGUGUGUGAAGAAGGCCUUCGGGUUGUAAAGCACUUUCAGCGGGGAGGAAGGCGAUAAGGUUAAUAACCUUGUCGAUUGACGUUACCCGCAGAAGAAGCACCGGCUAACUCCGUGCCAGCAGCCGCGGUAAUACGGAGGGUGCAAGCGUUAAUCGGAAUUACUGGGCGUAAAGCGCACGCAGGCGGUCUGUCAAGUCGGAUGUGAAAUCCCCGGGCUCAACCUGGGAACUGCAUUCGAAACUGGCAGGCUAGAGUCUUGUAGAGGGGGGUAGAAUUCCAGGUGUAGCGGUGAAAUGCGUAGAGAUCUGGAGGAAUACCGGUGGCGAAGGCGGCCCCCUGGACAAAGACUGACGCUCAGGUGCGAAAGCGUGGGGAGCAAACAGGAUUAGAUACCCUGGUAGUCCACGCUGUAAACGAUGUCGAUUUGGAGGUUGUGCCCUUGAGGCGUGGCUUCCGGAGCUAACGCGUUAAAUCGACCGCCUGGGGAGUACGGCCGCAAGGUUAAAACUCAAAUGAAUUGACGGGGGCCCGCACAAGCGGUGGAGCAUGUGGUUUAAUUCGAUGCAACGCGAAGAACCUUACCUGGUCUUGACAUCCACAGAACUUUCCAGAGAUGGAUUGGUGCCUUCGGGAACUGUGAGACAGGUGCUGCAUGGCUGUCGUCAGCUCGUGUUGUGAAAUGUUGGGUUAAGUCCCGCAACGAGCGCAACCCUUAUCCUUUGUUGCCAGCGGUUAGGCCGGGAACUCAAAGGAGACUGCCAGUGAUAAACUGGAGGAAGGUGGGGAUGACGUCAAGUCAUCAUGGCCCUUACGACCAGGGCUACACACGUGCUACAAUGGCAUAUACAAAGAGAAGCGACCUCGCGAGAGCAAGCGGACCUCAUAAAGUAUGUCGUAGUCCGGAUUGGAGUCUGCAACUCGACUCCAUGAAGUCGGAAUCGCUAGUAAUCGUAGAUCAGAAUGCUACGGUGAAUACGUUCCCGGGCCUUGUACACACCGCCCGUCACACCAUGGGAGUGGGUUGCAAAAGAAGUAGGUAGCUUAACCUUCGGGAGGGCGCUUACCAC
rnacentral:rRNA from 1 species